AAAUUGUUUCUGCUGCUACAGCUUUCCAGCCCAAGUUGUUGACUGGCUAGUCUUUUACUGCCUCCCAACAUGUUAGUGAGGUCCUGAGCUGAUGUACCCUAUGGCGAAGAGUGAGGCACUAGUUUCCUGAAGUAAUGUAUAGCAUGAGAUGGCACCCAUUCUAAACAGCAGCCGGCACCAACUCUGGCCGACGUUGGAGUGGACAAGACCCAGAUCCUGUGGGGAGGAAAAGUCUACACUAAACUGUGCAAGGGUGUUGGUUUUUCUCACUGAAGCUACCACUCGUGCAAUUUUGAUUGGUGAUUGACUUAGUCCUCCUCGUGAUCUACGGCAAGAACGACAGCUGAAACGGCUGAAACAUCGGGAAGAAACGGAGGAGACCAAUAUUAACAAGACCUCGUCGUGGAUAGUCGUUAAGGACAGGGGUUUUGAAGACCUUGACAAGGCUGCCUACAGACGCCCUAAGGACAGCAAAUUCAUUUGCCGUGUUUGACAAGUGCUGUGGUGAGCCUGCAGUUCACUCGAAACGGAAAUCGGCGAGGAGCGGCGAAGCGCAGACCCCUCAGGCUGCUCAGAAAGUUAAGGAGGUACCAACGCGAAUUUUGGUUGUGGGAGAUUCCCAGGUGGUAAAUUGUUUAGGCUGCUACAGCUCUCUAGCCAAAGUUGUUGACUGGCUAGUCUUUUACUGCCUCCCAACAUGUUAGUGAGGUCUUGAGCUGAUGUACCCUAUGGCGAAGAGUGAGGGACUAGUUUCCUGAAGUAAUGUAUAGCAUGAGAUGGCACCCAUUCUAAACAGCAGCCGGCACCAACUCUGGCCGACAUUGGAGUGGACAAGACCCAGAUCCUGUGGGGAGGAAAAGUCUACACUAAACUGUAAAAGGGUGUCAGUUUUUCUCACUGAAGCUACCACUCGUGCAAUUUUGAUUGGUGAUUGUGACUUAGUCCUCCUCGUGAUCUACGGCAAGAAAGUGCAGUGGCCUGUUGGACCACCUGGACAGCGAGGCGCGAGAGUUGGAAGUGUUUCCACCAUUACGUCAGACACUCCUCUGCCCCAGAUUUGGAGGAUUUGCAAUAUUGUAGGUUGUAGAAGGUCCUUCCAACAUACCUUCAGGAACAGUUGCAGAACAAUGGCUGGAAGUUAAAUGCUACAGAAAGUAGCAUAGUUGUCAUAAUUAGAGGGCCAAAGUGGUAUGGAAGAUUACAAUGUCAUCAAAGCAUUGACUGGCUUCAGUGUGGUUGUUCUACUCUGCAAAUCUACGAAAGUUGGUGGAUGUUGUCCUUGGUACUCUGGUGUUUUCACUGGCCUUUUGAUGAUCUUUGAGUCUUCAGUGGAUUGAAUCUAGGAGGAGCAGCUUCCCACAACCUGAAAGACAAUAGUCAAUAUUAAUGUUACACUGUAAACUAUGAAAUAAAUA
rnacentral:lncRNA from 1 species